CGCAAGCGAAGCUCUUGAUCGAAGCCCCGGUAAACGGCGGGCGUAACUAUAACGGUCCUAAGGUAGCGAAAUUCCUUGUCGGGUAAGUUCCGACCUGCACGAAUGGCGUAACGAUGGCGGCGCUGUCUCCACCCGAGACUCAGUGAAAUUGAAAUCGCUGUGAAGAUGCAGUGUAUCCGCGGCUAGACGGAAAGACCCCGUGAACCUUUACUAUAGCUUUGCACUGGACUUUGAAUUUGCUUGUGUAGGAUAGGUGGGAGGCUUUGAAGUGGGGACGCCAGUUCUCAUGGAGCCAUCCUUGAAAUACCACCCUGGCAACUUUGAGGUUCUAACUCAGGUCCGUUAUCCGGAUCGAGGACAGUGUAUGGUGGGUAGUUUGACUGGGGCGGUCUCCUCCC
rnacentral:rRNA from 1 species